CUAUGCGCCUUGCCAGCCCGCUCAGGUGUGCCAGCAGCCGCGGUAAUACGUAGGGAGCAAGCGUUGUCCGGAUUUACUGGGUGUAAAGGGUGCGUAGGCGGCAAUGCAAGUCAGAUGUGAAAUCUAUGGGCUCAACCCAUAAACUGCAUUUGAAACUGCGUUGCUUGAGUGAAGUAGAGGCAGGCGGAAUUCCCCGUGUAGCGGUGAAAUGCGUAGAGAUGGGGAGGAACACCAGUGGCGAAGGCGGCCUGCUGGGCUUUAACUGACGCUGAGGCACGAAAGCGUGGGUAGCAAACAGG
rnacentral:rRNA from 1 species